rnacentral:rRNA from 1 species
GAUGAACGCUGGCGGCGUGCUUAACACAUGCAAGUCGAACGAAGCACUCUAUUUGAUUUUCUUCGGAAAUGAAGAUUUUGUGACUGAGUGGCGGACGGGUGAGUAACGCGUGGGUAACCUGCCUCAUACAGGGGGAUAACAGUUGGAAACGACUGCUAAUACCGCAUAAGCGCACAGGAUUGCAUGAUCCGGUGUGAAAAACUCCGGUGGUAUGGGAUGGACCCGCGUCUGAUUAGCCAGUUGGCAGGGUAACGGCCUACCAAAGCGACGAUCAGUAGCCGACCUGAGAGGGUGACCGGCCACAUUGGGACUGAGACACGGCCCAAACUCCUACGGGAGGCAGCAGUGGGGAAUAUUGCACAAUGGGGGAAACCCUGAUGCAGCGACGCCGCGUGAGCGAAGAAGUAUUUCGGUAUGUAAAGCUCUAUCAGCAGGGAAGAAGAAUGACGGUACCUGACUAAGAAGCACCGGCUAAAUACGUGCCAGCAGCCGCGGUAAUACGUAUGGUGCAAGCGUUAUCCGGAUUUACUGGGUGUAAAGGGAGCGCAGGCGGUGCGGCAAGUCUGAUGUGAAAGCCCGGGGCUCAACCCCGGUACUGCAUUGGAAACUGUCGUACUAGAGUGUCGGAGGGGUAAGUGGAAUUCCUAGUGUAGCGGUGAAAUGCGUAGAUAUUAGGAGGAACACCAGUGGCGAAGGCGGCUUACUGGACGAUAACUGACGCUGAGGCUCGAAAGAGUGGGGAGCAAACAGG